rnacentral:tRNA from 3 species
GCGGGCGUAACUCAGUGGCAGAGUGUCUGCUUCCCAAGCAGAAAGUCGGGGGUUCGAAUCCCCUCGCCCGCUCCA